rnacentral:rRNA from 1 species
GACGAACGCUGGCGGCGUGCCUAAUACAUGCAAGUAGGACGCAGUUGCGAACGGGUGGGUCACGCGUAGGUAACUGCCUAAUAGAGGGGGAUAGCUAUUAGAAACGAUAGCUAAUACCGCAUACUAGUAGAUGGACCUGCGUGGUAUUAGCUAGUAGGUCGGGUAAUGGCAUACCUAGUCGACGAUACAUAGCCUACCUGGGAGGGGGAGCGGCCAAACCGGGAAUGAGACACGGGCCAGACGCCUACGGGAGGGCGCAGUAGGGAAUAUUCGGACAUGGGGGGAACCCUGACUGAGCAACGCCGCGGGAGUGAAGAAGGUCUUCGGAGCGUAAAGCGAUGUUGUUAAGGAAGCGGUACUUACCCAGAAAGGGCCGGCUAACUACGUGCCAGCAGCCGCGGUAAUAC